CCUGGCUCAGGAUGAACGCUGGCGGCGUGCCUAAUACAUGCAAGUCGAGCGAACGGACGAGAAGCUUGCUUCUCUGAUGUUAGCGGCGGACGGGUGAGUAACACGUGGAUAACCUACCUAUAAGACUGGGAUAACUUCGGGAAACCGGAGCUAAUACCGGAUAAUAUUUUGAACCGCAUGGUUCAAAAGUGAAAGACGGUCUUGCUGUCACUUAUAGAUGGAUCCGCGCUGCAUUAGCUAGUUGGUAAGGUAACGGCUUACCAAGGCAACGAUGCAUAGCCGACCUGAGAGGGUGAUCGGCCACACUGGAACUGAGACACGGUCCAGACUCCUACGGGAGGCAGCAGUAGGGAAUCUUCCGCAAUGGGCGAAAGCCUGACGGAGCAACGCCGCGUGAGUGAUGAAGGUCUUCGGAUCGUAAAACUCUGUUAUUAGGGAAGAACAUAUGUGUAAGUAACUGUGCACAUCUUGACGGUACCUAAUCAGAAAGCCACGGCUAACUACGUGCCAGCAGCCGCGGUAAUACGUAGGUGGCAAGCGUUAUCCGGAAUUAUUGGGCGUAAAGCGCGCGUAGGCGGUUUUUUAAGUCUGAUGUGAAAGCCCACGGCUCAACCGUGGAGGGUCAUUGGAAACUGGAAAACUUGAGUGCAGAAGAGGAAAGUGGAAUUCCAUGUGUAGCGGUGAAAUGCGCAGAGAUAUGGAGGAACACCAGUGGCGAAGGCGACUUUCUGGUCUGUAACUGACGCUGAUGUGCGAAAGCGUGGGGAUCAAACAGGAUUAGAUACCCUGGUAGUCCACGCCGUAAACGAUGAGUGCUAAGUGUUAGGGGGUUUCCGCCCCUUAGUGCUGCAGCUAACGCAUUAAGCACUCCGCCUGGGGAGUACGACCGCAAGGUUGAAACUCAAAGGAAUUGACGGGGACCCGCACAAGCGGUGGAGCAUGUGGUUUAAUUCGAAGCAACGCGAAGAACCUU
rnacentral:rRNA from 1 species